UACGUAGGGUGCGAGCGUUGUCCGGAAUUACUGGGCGUAAAGGGCGCGUAGGCGGGCCGCCGCGUCCGGGGUGAAAUCCUCCCGCUCAACGGGAGAACGGCCUCGGAUACGGGCGGCCUGGAGGCGGGUAGGGGCACGCGGAACUGUGGGUGGAGCGGUGAAAUGCGUUGAGAUCCACAGGAACUCCGGUGGCGAAGGCGGCGUGCUGGACCCGAUCUGACGCUGAGGCGCGAAAGCCAGGGGAGCGAACGGG
rnacentral:rRNA from 1 species